GUACGGGAGGCAGCAGUGGGGAAUAUUGCGCAAUGGGGGAAACCCUGACGCAGCAACGCCGCGUGGAGGAAGAAGGUUUUCGGAUUGUAAACUCCUGUCUUCUGGGACGAUAAUGACGGUACCAGAGGAGGAAGCCACGGCUAACUACGUGCCAGCAGCCGCGGUAAUACGUAGGUGGCGAGCGUUGUCCGGAAUUACUGGGCGUAAAGGGCGCGUAGGCGGCUCUUUAAGUUAGAUGUGAAAACCCGAGGCUUAACUUCGGGAGUGCAUUUAAAACUGGAGGGCUGGAGUGCAGGAGAGGUAAGUGGAAUUCCUAGUGUAGCGGUGAAAUGCGUAGAUAUUAGGAGGAACACCAGUGGCGAAGGCGACUUACUGGACUGUAACUGACGCUGAGGCGCGAAAGCGUGGGGAGCAAACAGGAUUAGAUACCCCGGU
rnacentral:rRNA from 1 species